rnacentral:rRNA from 1 species
GAACCUACGGGAGGCAGCAGUCGGGAAUAUUGCACAAUGGAGGAAACUCUGAUGCAGUGACACCGCGUAUAGGAAGAAGGUUUUCGGAUUGUAAACUGUUUUAGACAGGGAAGAAAAAAGACAGUACCUGUAGAAUAAGCUCCGGCUAACUACGUGCCAGCAGCCGCGGUAAUACGUAGGGAGCAAGCGUUAUCCGGAAUUAUUGGGUGUAAAGGGUGCGUAGACGGGACAGCAAGUUAGUUGUGAAAGCCCUCGGCUUAACUGAGGAACUGCUACUAAAACUAUAUAUCUUGAGUACU